GUGCUGCUCUCGGAGGACCAGGGGCACCCGGCGCCCACCGACGUGUGCCCCCAUCCCGCCACGGCUCCGCUCACCUGCAGCGCUGCCACGCUGGAAUCAGGCGCAAUGACAACGAGCGCGGACACCCCGGAGGACGUCGCGGAGGACAUCGAAGAGCUCCUGACCUGGAUCGACGAGGAAGUGACGGCCAACACAGGCAUCCUGGACGACACCAAAGACAUGGAUGAGCUGCUCGCGUGGAUCAGCAACGGUGAG